AUCCUGGCUCAGGAUGAACGCUAGCUACAGGCUUAACACAUGCAAGUCGAGGGGAAACGACAUCGAAAGCUUGCUUUUGAUGGGCGUCGACCGGCGCACGGGUGAGUAACGCGUAUCCAACCUGCCCACCACUUGGGGAUAACCUUGCGAAAGUAAGACUAAUACCCAAUGAUAUCUCUAGAAGACAUCUGAAGGAGAUUAAAGAUUUAUCGGUGAUGGAUGGGGAUGCGUCUGAUUAGCUUGUUGGCGGGGUAACGGCCCACCAAGGCGACGAUCAGUAGGGGUUCUGAGAGGAAGGUCCCCCACAUUGGAACUGAGACACGGUCCAAACUCCUACGGGAGGCAGCAGUGAGGAAUAUUGGUCAAUGGGCGAGAGUCUGAACCAGCCAAGUAGCGUGCAGGAUGACGGCCCUAUGGGUUGUAAACUGCUUUUAUAAGGGAAUAAAGUGAGUCUCGUGAGACUUUUUGCAUGUACCUUAUGAAUAAGGACCGGCUAAUUCCGUGCCAGCAGCCGCGGUAAUACGGAAGGUCCGGGCGUUAUCCGGAUUUAUUGGGUUUAAAGGGAGCGUAGGCCGGAGAUUAAGCGUGUUGUGAAAUGUAGACGCUCAACGUCUGCACUGCAGCGCGAACUAGUUUCCUUGAGUACGCACAAAGUGGGCGGAAUUCGUGGUGUAGCGGUGAAAUGCUUAGAUAUCACGAAGAACUCCGAUUGCGAAGGCAGCUCACUGGAGCGCAACUGACGCUGAAGCUCGAAAGUGCGGGUAUCGAACAGGAUUAGAUACCCUGGUAGUCCGCACGGUAAACGAUGGAUGCCCGCUGUUGGUCUGAAUAGGUCAGCGGCCAAGCGAAAGCAUUAAGCAUCCCACCUGGGGAGUACGCCGGCAACGGUGAAACUCAAAGGAAUUGACGGAAGG
rnacentral:rRNA from 1 species